rnacentral:lncRNA from 1 species
GAACUGGGAUGGCACCACUGCCACUCCAGCCUGGGCAACAGCAGGACCCUGUCUCAAAAAAAGAAAAAAACAAAGGAUUCAAAAGGAUUCAGCUGUUUUGUAUUCAGCUGAGAAAACAGCUUCUGUGUUCAGUCACAGGAGCCAUCGGCAAAGAAUGGAAGUGGAAAUGCUACCUCCAGGGUCUUGGUGAGAGAAAGUACAGCUUUACCUGAUAGGUGAUUUCCCUUGGAAUCCAUCAGAACUCGACAAAGCAUGAUUUUCUGAGCCUAGUAAAAUGGUUCUGAAUCAAAACCGAAGUCACGCUGUGCUGCCGAUCCCUGUUUGACUCUCAAAACCAAAAUCUGUAUCAGGAAAGGAAUAAUCAUUUAGCAGACUGAGUCCAAAAUGCUCAUUUUUGGUUUCCUGUGAAAAUGGAUUUCUUUUUGUCGCUUUCUUUUUUUUUUUUUUUUUUUUUGAGAUGGAGUCUCACUCUAUUGCCCAGGCUGGAGUGCAGUGGUGCAAUUUUGACUCACUGCAACCACCGCCUCCCAGGUUCAAGCGAUUCUCCUGCUUCCCAAUCCCAAGCUGCUGGGAUUACAGGCAUGCGCCACCAUGCUCGGCUAAUUUUUUGUAUUUUCAGUAGAGACGGGUUUUCACCAUGUUGGCCAGGCUGGUCUCGAACUCCUGACCUCAGGUGAUCCACCCACCUCAGCCUCCCAAAAUGCUUCGAUUGCAGGCAUGAGCCACUGUGCCUGUCCAAGAAAACAGAUUUCUUGAUGGAAAUUAGUGAGACAGACAUCCCCUUAGGAUUGAAAGAGAGCUCUGGGCUGCUCCAGGGAAAGCCACUUGGCAGAAAUAGCCUCUGUAAGUGAAUUCUGGAUUCCCCUGAAGACGUUACAGCAAAUCUCUGGGUAUGUCUCUGGUAAAGACCCUCACUUGAGCUUCUAGAAGGGAGCGAAAAUUCAGGAAUUUGCUUGCUGCAAAAGAGAACAUGAUUAACAGGUAAAAGAGAAAAGACAAUAUAGGCCACAGAGGAAUAGUGUUAGGAUCAACCCUGCUCAGCAGGGGCCUCUGGAGCCCUCCCUGCUGUACCCAAGCCAGAGCUGAGACAUGGCUCCCCAGAUGGACUGGCUGUGGUCAGGAAAGGCCUGUAGAGGGAGCUGAGGGCUCAGAAAAUACCUGCUCCGGGUGCCUGGGCUCAAGUUCUCAUUCCAUUUCUUUGAUGCCACUGGCCACUGUAUCUGCUUUUGUAAAAACCUCCAAAAAGUUAUACAUCAGGUAUCUCUAGUCAGCUUCCUCCGCUGCCCACCUCUUGCCACAGAUGAGUGAUCACUGUGAAUGGUGGUGACCAGGUGGGCAGGGCAGGGGCUUGUCUAAGUGCCUUAGCCCAGGCCCCUGGCCCAUCGACCUCGAAAACAGCAAUAUCGCCUCCUUCUUAGAUCCAGUUACCAAGUCAGUCUAGCUGGGUGGGUAGUGCUCAGACAGAAAGGCUGGAUGGGAAGGAAGUCACAUCCUAAAAGUCCAGGAGGGGGCCAGGCGCAGUGGCUCACGCCUGUAAUCCCAGCACUUUGGGAGACCAAGGUGGGCAGAUCACCUGAGGUCAGGAGUUUGAGACCAGCCUGGCCAACAUGGUGAAACCCUGUUUCUACUAAAUAUACAAAAAAAAAAAAAAUAGUUGGAUGUGGUUUCGUGUGCCUGUAGUGCCAGCUACUCAGGAGGCUGAGGCAGGAGAAUUGCUUGAACCCAGAAGGCAGAGGUUGCAGUGAGCCGAGACUGCACCACUGCACUCCAGCCUGGGUGACAGAGCAAGACUCCAUCUCAAAAAAUAAAACAAGUCCAGGAGGGGCUGUUACUUCUUUUUAGUUUAUUUAUUUUUGUGAGGCAGGGUUUUGCUGUCUGGAGCAUCAUACCCAGUCUGGAGUGCAGUGAUGCAAUCAUGGCUCACUGCAGCCUCCACCUCCCAGGCUCAAGCGAUCCUCCCACCUCAGCUCCCUGAGAAGCUGGGACCACAGGCCUGGCUAAAUUUUGACUUUUUGUAGAGACAAGGUUUUGCCAUGUUGCCCAGUCAGAUCUCAAGCGAGGGGCUGUUACAUCUGAUCAGGGCAAAAGGGGCUGUGCUCCUUGGACACUUUGCACAGCCCCAGUGGGCUUCUUUCUCCUCUGUUAGUGUGGUUAAUGUUCAUCUGCCUGCAUCCCUGAGUCACCCAAGUGUAACCUCAGCCAUAACACGUACUGCAGCCGGAACGGUGUCCGCAGCUCAGCGUCCCUCUCCCAUGCACUUUCUGAACUUUGGUCUUUUAACCAGGUUUACCAGCCGCUUUCUGCCUCUUUGUGCUUUUGAGGGUUUUUUGGUUUGUUUGUUCUGUUUUGUUUUUAAAUAAAGAUGAUUAUUUGGCCCAGGCUGAGGGUGCAAACAGAACUCUUCACGUGUCCACGACAAGAAAAAUAGUUUUUACAAACUUCUAGUUGUGGCAUCAAAAGUGUGAGUUUUUGCACCUGCAAAAUUGUAAUGCAAGCCCUGACUGGGUGGAAGCUGAAGUCUUGCUGUUUUAAAUUAAAUAAAUAAAUUAUUUUUCUCCUA